rnacentral:rRNA from 1 species
CAGUAGCCGCGGGAAUACGGAGGGUGCAAGCGUUAUCCGGACUCACUGGGUUUAAAGGGUGCGUAGGCGGAUCUGUAAGUCAGUGGUGAAAUCUCCAGGCUUAACCUGGAAACUGCCGUUGAUACUAUAGGUCUUGAAUUUUGUUGAGGUUAGCGGAAUAUGUCAUGUAGCGGUGAAAUGCAUAGAUAUGACAUAGAACACCAAUUGCGAAGGCAGCUGGCUACACAACUAUUGACGCUGAGGCACGAAAGCGUGGGGAUCAAACAGGAUUAGAUACCCCCGUAGUCCCUGUCUCUUAUAC